CCUAGUGGUUUUGGAUGAAGUGUAGAACAUACGGAUCUUACCAUCCAAGACUUCUUCAGUAACCUAUUGUCUAUUGACAAACGGGGUAAAAGCUAUAUUAAUUUGAAAUUCAUUAUUUGGGGAAAAAAAUUCAAAAUCACACAGGCAGCAGGAAAUACAUGAUAAAUUUUUAGAUAACAGCCAUCAUGAAUUUCUGUUGCCACAUCACGAGCUACAACUGGUCCGAAUGCUAGAAGACACGGGUUCAUGUUCACUCUUUCAAAGAUUACAAUAUCAUGUUCAUUCUAAAACACGGGGGUUCCCAAGUAACGAGAAUCUCUGAAAGAGUGAGACCCUAUAAACGGAGUAGAAUAGGGGUAAAAAAAAAAAAAACGUUUGAAGUUGGCAAUGAAUCCAUUCCCAGAAGACGUGCCACAACUCCUUGUGCUUUUGUUCCACAAUCUGUAUCAGUAUCACCACUUGCUGAUGAAACAUAAUGGUAAUCAAUAUGGCUUCUAGCAUUUGGACCAAACUAAUUUUCAUAAUCAGAAAACAUUUUACAAUUAAUGUAAACCCAAAAUAAUUGAAGAGACCCAAGCAAAUCAACAACUACGCAAUCAAAAUGAAAACAAAAAUGAAAAACUCGCACCUUUAAUCUAGCAACUGAAGAUCCAAUAACCGAUAAUUUAACUCCCAGCCUAGGCAGUGAAAGAUCGAAAAAAUUAUAAACAAAAAGGGGUACAAAUUGCAAUCAACCAAUAAUGAGGUAUUAUGCAAAAAAUACAAAAUUACCGGAUUAUCUUCAACAAUCUUCAAAUGUUGAAGGCCGAUCGACUUUGGAGAAACGAGAAAUUUUGAUUUUUUCUAAAGAUUGACUGAUUAAUUUGAGCCGCAGAUUUUUCUUCUUCUAUGGUUUCAUUGGUUUGUAAUUUGAAUCUUAUAUAGUAUAAAUAAAU
rnacentral:lncRNA from 1 species